GUGCCAGCAGCCGCGGUAAUUCCAGCCUCCAAUAAGCGUAUAUUAAAGUUGUUGCAGUUUAAAAAAGCUCCGUAAGUUGAAUUUCCGGGGUUAGUAGGUUGGUCAUGCCUCUGGUAUGUACUGGUCUCACUGAUUCCUCCUUCCUGAUGAACCGUAAUGCCAUUAAUUUGGUGUUGCGGGGAAUUUGGACUGUUACUUUGAAAAAAUUAGAGUG
rnacentral:rRNA from 1 species